UGCCAGCCGCCGCGGUAAUACGGAGGGGGCUAGCGUUGUUCGGAAUUACUGGGCGUAAAGCGCACGUAGGCGGUCGAUUUAGUUAGGGGUGAAAGGCCUGGGCUCAACCUAGGAACUGCCUUUAAUACUGGUCGACUAGAGUCCGGGAGAGGGUAGCGGAAUUCCAAGUGUAGAGGUGAAAUUCGUAGAUAUUUGGAAGAACAUCAGUGGCGAAGGCGGCUACCUGGACCGGUACUGACGCUGAGGUGCGAAAGCGUGGGGAGCAAACAGGAUUAGAUA
rnacentral:rRNA from 1 species